rnacentral:rRNA from 1 species
CCUACGGGAGGCUGCAGUGGGGAAUAUUGCACAAUGGGGGAAACCCUGAUGCAGCGACGCCGCGUGAAUGAAGAAGUAUCUCGGUAUGUAAAGCUCUAUCAGCAGGGAAGAAAAUGACGGUACCUGAGUAAGAAGCCCCGGCUAACUACGUGCCAGCAGCCGCGGUAAUACGUAGGGGGCAAGCGUUAUCCGGAUUUACUGGGUGUAAAGGGAGCGUAGACGGCAGUGCAAGUCUGGUGUGAAAGGCUGGGGCUCAACCCCAGGACUGCACUGGAAACUGUACGUCUGGAGUGCAGGAGAGGUAAGUGGAAUUCCUAGUGUAGCGGUGAAAUGCGUAGAUAUUAGGAGGAACACCAGUGGCGAAGGCGGCUUACUGGACUGUAACUGACGUUGAGGCUCGAAAGCGUGGGGAGCAAACAGGAUUAGAUACCCGAGUAGUC